rnacentral:rRNA from 1 species
UACGAAGGGGGCUAGCGUUGUUCGGAUUUACUGGGCGUAAAGCGCACGUAGGCGGACUAUUAAGUCAGGGGUGAAAUCCUGGAGCUCAACUCCAGAACUGCCUUUGAUACUGGGGAUCUCGAGUCCGGGAGAGGUGAGUGGAACUCCGAGUGUAGAGGUGAAAUUCGUAGAUAUUCGGAAGAACACCAGUGGCGAAGGCGGCUCACUGGCCCGGUACUGACGCUGAGGCGCGAAAGCGUGGGGAGCAAACAGG